GGAAUUGGUAUUUACAGCGACUGUGCAGACGGUAUUUUGCUCGGCUGGAAAACGGGCAAUAAAAUCUUCAGGAUAGGUAAAUGGAGGGAGAAAUAUUUGCAUCUCCAAUAGAACCCCUGUUUAAUCAUGAACAUGCAUUGGAGACAGAUAUUUUGCAAGACUGGUUGAUAAAUCUGGCAAAAAAGAAUUUCAGGCACAUCAAUCAAGCACACUCUAAACAGGGCUUGUUCAAACAAGUGAAUGUUGUGGAGACUAUCAUGUAUGCUUCUGAAAAAUUGAAAAUAGCACAAGAAGCCAAAUAUCUUGCAAUCGAGUUAUU